GACGAACGCUGGCGGCGUGCUUAACACAUGCAAGUCGAACGCUGAAGCUCAGCUUUUGUUGGGGGGAUGAGUGGCGAACGGGUGAGUAACACGUGAGUAACCUGCCCCCUUCUUUGGGAUAACGCCCGGAAACGGGUGCUAAUACUGGAUAUUCACUGGUCUUCGCAUGGGGGUUGGUGGAAAGGGUUUUUCUGGUGGGGGAUGGGCUCGCGGCCUAUCAGCUUGUUGGGGGGGUGAUGGCCUACCAAGGCUUUGACGGGUAGCCGGCCUGAGGGGGUGACCGGUCACAUUGGGACUGAGAUACGGCCCAGACUCCUACGGGAGGCAGCAGUGGGGAAUAUUGCACAAUGGGCGCAAGCCUGAUGCAGCGACGCCGCGUGAGGGAUGGAGGCCUUCGGGUUGUGAACCUCUUUCGCUCAUGGUCAAGCCGCAACAAUGGUUGUGGUGAGGGUAGUGGGUAAAGAAGCGCCGGCUAACUACGUG
rnacentral:rRNA from 1 species